UACGUAGGGUGCGAGCGUUAAUCGGAAUUACUGGGCGUAAAGUGUGCGCAGGCGGCCGCGCAAGUCGAGUGUGAAAGCCCCGAGCUUAGCUUGGGAAUUGCGCUCGAAACUACGUGGCUGGAGUGUGGCAGAGGAAGGUGGAAUUCCACGUGUAGCGGUGAAAUGCGUAGAGAUGUGGAGGAACACCAAUGGCGAAGGCAGCCUUCUGGGCCAACACUGACGCUCAUGCACGAAAGCGUGGGGAGCAAACAGG
rnacentral:rRNA from 1 species